rnacentral:rRNA from 1 species
UACGUAGGCAGCGAGCGUUGUUCGGAGUUACUGGGCGUAAAGGGUGUGUAGGCGGUUGUUUUAAGUUUGGUGUGAAAUCUCCCGGCUCAACUGGGAGGGUGCGCCGAAUACUGAAUGACUAGAGUGCGGGAGAGGACAGUGGAAUUCCCGGUGUAAGCGGUGAAUGCGUAGAUAUCGGGAGGAACAUCAGUGGCGAAGGCGGCUGUCUGGCCCAAUACUGACACUCAGGUGCGACAGCGUGGGGAGCAAACAGG